rnacentral:rRNA from 1 species
UACGGAGGGUGCAAGCGUUAUCCGGAUUCACUGGGUUUAAAGGGUGUGUAGGCGGGUCUGUAAGUCAGGGGUGAAAUCUCCGAGCUCAACUUGGAAACUGCCAUUGAUACUAUAGGUCUUGAAUUUUGUUGAGGUAGGCGGAAUAUGUCAUGUAGCGGUGAAAUGCAUAGAUAUGACAUAGAACACCGAUUGCGAAGGCAGCUUACUAAGCAAAUAUUGACGCUGAGGCACGAAAGCGUGGGGAUCAAACAGG